CUACGGGUGGCAGCAGUGGGGAAUAUUGGACAAUGGGCGAAAGCCUGAUCCAGCCAUGCCGCGUGUGUGAAGAAGGCCUUCGGGUUGUAAAGCACUUUCAGUGGGGAAGAAAGCCUUGGGGCUAAUACCCUCGAGGAAGGACAUCACCCACAGAAGAAGCACCGGCUAACUCCGUGCCAGCAGCCGCGGUAAUACGGAGGGUGCGAGCGUUAAUCGGAAUUACUGGGCGUAAAGCGCGCGUAGGCGGUCUGAUAAGCCGGUUGUGAAAGCCCCGGGCUCAACCUGGGAACGGCAUCCGGAACUGUCAGGCUAGAGUGCAGGAGAGGAAGGUAGAAUUCCCGGUGUAGCGGUGAAAUGCGUAGAGAUCGGGAGGAAUACCAGUGGAGAAGGCGGCCUUCUGGACUGACACUGACGCUGAGGUGCGAAAGCGUGGGUAGCAAACAGGAUUAGAUACCCCGGUAGUC
rnacentral:rRNA from 1 species